AUAAAUUGAAAGGUGGUAUACUUAAAUGUAAUAAACACAAACCUUAAACAUGAGUGGUUAUAAGGUUUGGUAUAUGGGAUGUAUAUGUAAAAAUCCCAAUUUAAAAAUGGUCCCAAAGAGCCCAAUCACACGUCUCAGGAUGAAACUUCCACAAAAUCUCAAAACUGGCCGAAGUCCAAAGCCAGCCGGCCGCGCAGGAAAAAUGAGGGAUCAAAUCUCAGGAGCUGCUACAAUUCUUACCGCAACAAAUCACGUUGUAGCCACAACGAGACACAAAUGACAAAGCUCACCCUUAUUUUAACUGAUGAACAUGAAUUCCAGACUUUCAAAAUCAGUUUAUUAUACUAAUCUGCUAUCAUGAACUAACGAUCAUAAUGAGUUGAUUCAACGUAGAUGAACCUUGGUUCCUUAACCUUUAACUGAUUUCAACGUUAAUUUACUAACAACAAAUCAAGUUUACACCAAUUGAACUCAAUUCCUUUAUUCAAACACAAAUUUUCAUUACACUAGUAUGACUAAUGACAAAGUUAUUAGUAAUUAGGAUGAAUGAGAUCCAACCAGUUCAUGAAUUGAAAUUUUACUACAAGGUCACUACCUUUCAACGUGAUACUUAUCCAGAUUCGAACAUGCUGAUGAUUAUUGAACUCAUGUAAGGCAAUGAACCUUCAAAUCACUUCAAGCCUCUAAUUAGACGAACUAUUGAACUAACUACAUUUCAACAUUUGAGGAUUCAAUUCACCAGUUUAAAUAAAAUUAUCAACUCCAGAGAAACAGUCCUAAUUAUAGUCCAAAUUUUAACUACACUGAAUAACCAGCAAAAUCAUAUAAAAUAGAACUACUUAAAUGCAAUAAGGCUAUUCAACAGUAGAUCUAUAGCAGAAAGCUUCAAUUUCAAUUUCAUUUCAACUGAAAUUCUACAUGAUGCAGAGGUUCAGAACAUGUACCUGUAGAUUGAAGUGAAGUAAGAAGAAGAAGAAGAGGAGGUCAGCAAUAACAAUUGUAACAGCCAGUGAUAACCAAGAGUCACAGACAGCAACAAUCAGGAACAAUUUUGGACCAAAAUCACUUCAAAACCCAGGGAUUCAACACAUAACACAACACAAAACCUAAUACCCUAUAUCUAACCCAAAAAGCUUGAAAUCAAAACAGUAACACUCCAGAAACUUCAGCAACCAAACCACAACAGAGUGAGAAUCAAUGGAACAGUAGCAUUCUUGAUUUUUUUUGAGUUUUCUUUUUGUUUGUCUCUUUGCUUUGUUUUUUUUAAAAUUUUAAUCCUUUUUCAGAUCUGGAAAUAAAACUAAUGAGGGGAAAUUUUAGGUUCAAAAGAAGACCCCCCACCCAAUGUACUAAUUGUGCCCUUAUAUAGGCAAGUGAAGGAAGGCUAAAGUUUUAUAUUUACAGCAAAGCCCCCCCCCCCCCCAUUUAAUUCUGUGUAAAACCUUUCUCAUGUUUACUUGUGUCUCAAGUCACUACUUUCUAAAUUUGAAAAUGACAUUAAGGUACUAUUCUAGAGUGUUCUAACAAGAAUUAAUCAACUAAACUACACACACAUAUACCAAUUGUAAACACCUAAAUUGAAACUGUUAACUGUUUACACCUAACGAAGACAGCGACCAUUAACCAAAACAACUACAUUAUCUUACUCAAACUUAACCAAAACAAUCAGAAUCAAAGUCGAAAUCACAAACUUAAACUAGCAAUAUCAAAAUCGAAACUGGCCCAAGUUUAUACCAAAUUGAAAAGUGAAAAAAUUACUGAAACAAAUAAGCACAAAAUAAUGAAUAAGCUAAUCCUAAGCUCAAACUGAACUUAGCCAAGAUGACAUAAACUUUAGCAAACGAUUGUUACAGCCUAAGGAAAUUGAUCAAACACGAUACAAAGACGACAGUCAAAACUAAACCGAUAUUAAUUAACACAGCUAGUUUAAACUAAAGAAGUAGUGAAAACUUAAUGACUCACCGGCCACUUUCAAACUCAAAAUUCGACAUAUUCCCAUGAGAUUUUAGCGCCAAUAAUGUUGAAUUCUUCAUAAGGAAAGCCCAAAGAACAUCUGAGAUCAAUUUGAGGCGAGUUGGGGCAACUAGGGUUCUGACCGGAAAAUUUCAAUUUGAUAUUCGAACGAUUCCAGGUAGAUUCGAGAGAUACGGCUAUGGGAUUUUGGUAGAGGAAGCUUGGGCGAUUCCAGGGUGUUAUUUGGAGGUCGUUUGGCGUAACCGGCAUCAUGGCCGGAAAACCUUCAACGAGAUAUUCGACUAGACAGGGAAGGAUUUGAAGGCAAUGGGUAAUAGAUUCAUGAUGGGGAAGAUGAAGGAAGCUAUGGUAUUAAUUUCUGGUUGAUUGGCGUGACCGGCAUUCGCCGGCGGUGGCUCCGUCGGUGGUCUUACAGGAUCUGAUACGAGGAAGAUGAAGAGUAUACUUAGGGUUGAAUUGGUUUUUUGGACAGUUUUAUGAUAGUGUGAAGCUCAACUGUGGCCGUUGGAUUAAAAGGCACGGACGGCCAAGAUCAUGUGAUACCCAAAACGGCAUCGUUCGGGUCAUUUAAAAGCGGAGUAGGUUGGUGAAUUUGGGCCUGAGCACGGGUGAUGAAGGGUUUCUUGAGUUUUGGAUAAACCAAUUUGGCCCAAUUUGUUCUUUUUAUUAAGAAAACUCUUUUUUAAUUAUUUUUCCUUUUACUUUUUUUCAUUUUGUAUUUUUUUUUCUAAUUUUAUAAAAAUGCAAGAAUAAAAUAAAGUCCUAAUAUAUUUCAAAAUUAAACUAAUUAUGACCUAAAAUUAUUUUAAAAACUAUUUCGCGAUGAAUUCACAAUUGAACAAUUAAAAAUACAAAAGUGAACUAUUUUUUUGUGAUUUUCAUAUUUUGUUCUAAAACAAUUAACCCCUAAUUAAUCCUAUAAUAAUAAAUUAUUUCCUAAAUGCAAAAGAAUAUUUUUUUAUAUUUUCAUAUGAAUUAACAUGCAUGAAUAAAAUUCAAACAAUUAACAGAAAAUAGCAUCAAAAUUCACAAAUUUUUAAAAAUAAGAAAAAAAAAAUUGUUUAAAUUUUUGGGAAUAAUUCAUAUAUAGGGCAAAAAUCACGUGCUCAUAACUUCCAUAAGAAUGAAUUGCGCUAACUUGGUCGGCCUGUCAACAAUGACCCAUACUGCGUUGAACUUCCUCCGAGUCUGUGGGAGUCCAACAACAAAAACCAUAAUGAUCCGCUCCCACUUCCACUCGGGAAGCUCAAUCCUCUGAAACAAACCACCAGGCCUCUGAUGCUCAUGCUUAUCCUGGUGACAAUUUAAACACCGACCUUCAUAUGCAACAAUAUUCUUCUUUAUUCUGCGCCACCUAUAAUGUUGAUGUAAAUCCUAAUACAUCUUUCCUAGGGCCUCCUCUAAAAUCAACUCCCGAAGCCCAUCCACAAUAGGCACACAUACUCGACCCUGCAAUCUCAAAACCCCAUCAUCAUCUAAGGUAACUUGCUUGGCACCUCCGCGGUGCACCGUAUCUCUAAGGACACAUAAAUGGGGAUCAUCAUACUACCGAUCACGGAUACGCUCCAAUAAGGAAGAAAGAGCGGCCAUGCAAGCUAUUUCAUGACUAGGCUAAAAAAAUCCAGCCUCACAAUCUGAUUGGCCAAAGCCUGAACAUCGAAGGAAAGCGGCCUCUCACUGACCGGAAUAUAAGCAAGACUGCCCAUACUAACCGACUUCCUACUUAAAGCAUCGGGUACCACAUUGGCCUUCCCCGGAUGAUAUAAGAUAGUGAUAUCAUAAUCCUUCAACAACUCCAACCACAUCCUCUGCCUCAAAUACAACUCCUUUUGCUUGAACCAAUAUUGAAGACCCUUAUGAUCAGUGAACACCUCACAUGCCAUGCCAUACAAAUAAUGCCUCCAAAUCUUCAAUACAUGAACAUUGGCCGUCAACUCCAAACCAUGAACCAGAUAGUUCUUCUCAGGAAUCUUCAACUACCGUGAAGCAUAGGCAAUGACCUUGUCAUCCUGCAUCAACACUGCAUCAAGACCAAUACGAGAUGUAUCACAAUAAACUGUAUAAGGCCCUGAUCCUAUGGGCAAAACCAACACUGGUGCCGUAGUUAGAGCCGUCUUGAGCUUUUGAAAGCUCACAUCACACUCGUUCGACCAUCUGAACUGGGCACCCUUCUGGGUCAACUUGGUCAUCGGGGCUGCGAUACACGAGAACCCCUACACAAACCGAUGAUAGUAGCCUGCCAAUCCCAAGAAACUCUGAAUCUCUGUAGCUGAUACUGGUCUAGGCCAAUUCUUGACUUCCUCAAUCUUCAUCGGAUCAACCUGAAUAUCCUUUGCUGAUACAACGUGACCCAGAAAUGCAACUGAACUCAACUAUAACUCACACUUCGAGAACUUUGCAUAUAAUUGACUAUCCUUCAGAGUCUGAAGAACCACUCUGAGAUGGUGCUCGUACUUCUCCUGAGUGCAGGAAUAUAUAAAAAUAUCAUCAAUAAAGACUAUCACGAACGAGUCCAAAUAAGGCCUGAACACUCGGUUCAUCAAAUCCAUAAAAGUUGUUGGAGCAUUGGUCAACCCAAAUGACAUAACCAAGACUUCAUAAUGCCCGUACCGAGUGCGCAAAGCUGUAUUAGGGACAUCAGAUGCCCUAAUCCUCAACUGAUGUUAGCCAUAUCUCAAAUCAAUCUUUGAAAAUAACUUAGCACGCUGAAGCUGAUAAAAAAAUCAUCAAUCCUCGGCAAUUGAUACUUAUUUGUUAUUGUAACCUUGUUCAACUACCGGUAAUCAAUACACAUUCUCAUCGAUCCGUCCUUCUUCUUAGCAAAAACACCAGCCGCCUCAAGGCGAAACACUAGGUCUAAUGAAACCCUUCUCAAGCAAGUCUUGCAACUGUUCCUUCAACUCCAUAAACUUCGGCGGGGCCAUAAGAUACGGAGUGAUAGAAAUGGGUUGAGUGCUCGAAACCAAAUCAAUGCAAAAGCCAAUAUCCAUGUCGGGUGGCAUACCGGGCAGGUCUGAAGGGAAAAUAUCAGGAACCUCACGAACAACGGACACAUAAUCAAUAGAAGGGACCUUAGCACUAGAAUCACGAACAUACGCCAAAUAGGCCAAACACCCCUUCUCGACCAUAUGCCGAGUUUUUGCGUAUGAGAUAACACUACAAGUAGAAUAACCAGGCGUCCCUCUCAACUUUAAAUGUGGCAUACCCGGUAAAGAAAAGCUCACAGGCUUGGCAUGACAGGGCAAGAUAGCAUAGUAAUGUGAUAACCAAUCCAUUCCCAAUAUUAAAUCGAAGUCAACCAUGUCUAGAAGCAAUAAAUCCACACGAGUCUCAAGAUCCUCAAUUACCACAAUACAAGAACAAUGGACUUGAUCUACCAUAAUAGAAUCACCCACCAAUAUAGACAAAUAAUAGAAACACUCAAUGAAUCACUAGGCAUGACUAGAUACGGUGUAAAAUAAGAUGACACAUAUGAGUAGGUAGACCCUACAUCAAAUAGCACUGAAGCAUCUCUAUCACAAACCAGUACAAUACCUGUGAUGAUUGCAUCUAAAGCCUCAGCCUCGGCCUAGCUGGAAGGGUUUAACAUCAGGGCUGGGCCCUACUACCCUAUACUACCUCUCUGGGACGGCCUGCUACUGGCUGGCCUCCACCUCUGGCGGUCUGAGCUCCAUCUCUAGUACCUUUACCUUUACCUCUAAACCUCUACCCCCACCUCUAGUUGACCGGGCGGGUUCUGGAACAUCUGGUGCCUGUACCAUGGCAUGAGAACCCUUAUGUUGCGAGCUACUCGGUGCUCCAGGGCAAAACCUGGCAAUGUGACCCGGAUCACCACAAGUGUAACAAGCCCUCGGAAACUGAGACUGCUGGCCCCGACUUCUGCCUCAAAUACAACUCCUUUUGCUUGAACCAAUACAUAAGACUCUUUUGAUCCGUGAACACCAUGUCACGCCAUAUAGAUAAUGCCUCCAAAUCUUCAAUGUGUGAACUAUGGCUGCCAACUCCAAAUCAUGAACUAGAUAGUUCUUCUCAUGAAUCUUUCAGCCUCGGCCUAGCUGGAAGGGUUUAACAUCAGGGCUGGGCCCUACUACCCUAUACUACCUCUCUGGGACGGCCUGCUACUGGCUGGCCUCCACCUCUGGCGGUCUGAGCUCCAUCUCUAGUACCUUUACCUUUACCUCUAAACCUCUACCCCCACCUCUAGUUGACCGGGCGGGUUCUGGAACAUCUGGUGCCUGUACCAUGGCAUGAGAACCCUUAUGUUGCGAGCUACUCGGUGCUCCAGGGCAAAACCUGGCAAUGUGACCCGGAUCACCACAAGUGUAACAAGCCCUCGGAAACUGAGACUGCUGGCCCCGACUACCUGAAUGACCACCCCAAAACUCUAAUGUGGCGGUGCACUAAUAGAAACAGGUAGUGCACUGUAGGAUUGCUGAUCGGAAUACUACAUCUUGGGACCACGGUUACCUGAAGUACUGACUAAAAAAGCCUAGGAGGAUGGCCUCUACCAUAUGAAUAUGUACCUCUAGACGAGGUAUCACUGAAUCUGCCUGAAUGAGGGUGCCUCUUGUCUGACCCAUGACCACCUCCCAGUGCCAGAACCAUCUCAACUCUAUGGGCCACAUUGGCUGCCUCCUUAAAAAAUGAUCUCACUCUCAACCUCCCUAUCCAUCUAAAGAGGAAUCGACUAAAUAAGACCGUAAAUAAACCUCCUCACCCUCUCUCUCUCUCUCUCUCAGUGGGAAGUAUGACAAGAAUAUGGUGAGCUAAGUCGAUUAACCUGGUCUCAUACUGGGUAACAAUCAUGGAACCCUUCUGGAGGCGGCUCAAACUUCCUCCGAUAGGCCUCUCUCUGAGUAACGGUUAGAAAUUUCUCCAUGAAUAACACUGUAAACUGCUCACAAGUCAAGGGUGGCAAUCCAGUUUAUCUAGCUAAGCAAUUAUCUCUCCACUACGUCUUGGCGGAUCCAGACAAGCGAAAUGUAGAAAAAUCGACCCAAUUGGUCUCAACAAUACCUAUGUUCCUGAGAACCUCAUGGAAGCUGUCUAGAUAAUCCUGGGGGUCCUUAAUAGAUGCACUGCUAAAAGUAGAAGUGAAGAGCUUGGUGAACCUAUCUAGCCUCCACAAAGCAUCAGCAUACACAACUGCUCUGUCAUUGGUCUAAGCUACCACACCCAGCUGUAAUGCUCCAAAUGUCUUAACCGCUGGAGUUUGAAUUUGAGGAGCUACCUGCUCCAUAGUGCGAGCAUAAGAAUUAUGGUCCUUUCCUCCAGCCUGAGAGACGGCUGGUGCUACAAGAAGCAAGCCUGCUCGGCUGACACUCUCCAUGAGGCCCACUAGUCAGGCCAAAGCAUCCUGAAGAACUGGGGUACUAAUAAACCUUGCUGGGACCUGAUUUGGGCCGACCAAAACUGUUGGGGCCGGAACCUCCUUAUCAAAAUAAACCCCAGGUUCUGUCACUGGUACUACUUUUUGGGGCUGAGCUCUUCCCUUACCUCGGCCUCUAACACAGCCUCGGCCUCGGCCUGCCCUUCAUGGGAGCUGUUGCUGGGGGCUCAAGGUGCUGAGUUAUGGAUGAGGAAGCGCAUGUUCUUGCUAUCUUUGAAAGAACAUAGUAGAAAUUCAAUUAGUAUUAGGAAACAAAACCGCACGACAAGAAAGAAAAAAUGUGAAGUUUUUCCUUACUUUGUAGCCUCUAGGGAUAAAUACAAACGUCUCUGUAUUGAUCCCUUAGACUCUACCAAACUUGUCUUGUAACUGUGAGACCCAUGUAACCUAGAGCUCCGAUACAACUUGUCACGACCCGAAUUUUCCUUCCUCAAAAGUCGUGAUGGCGCCUACUAAUGAGAGCUACACAAGCCAAACCUUAACUACCUACUUCAUUAUGAAAUUACUUCAUUUUAACACAUAUAAGUGAUAACAUAAAAACAACAGAACUUUAAAUAAUUAAGCGGAAGAUAACAAUAAAAUAUCUGAAACCAACAUCUAUUACAGCUUUUAAAACCACAAAUACCCAAAAUCUGGCAUCACAGUGUCACAGACUAUCUAUGAUUACUACAUACAAGGUAUGAAGAAAUAACAAUACACUAUUUCUGAAUAAGAGAGAAGGAAACAUGCAAUAGAGAUAGAGGGAGUUUCAGGGCCCGCGGACGCUUGCAUCUCUACCUUGGGUCUCCAGGUGGACUGAAGGAAGCCCUCCAUUUGCUGUCCGAAAGCUGCUCCGGGAUCUGCACACAGUGCAGAGUGUAGUAUCAGCACAACUCACCCUAUGUGCAGGUAAGUGCCUAGCCUAACCUCGGCGAAGUAGUGACGAGGCUAGGACCAGACUACCAAAUAAAGUUGUGCAGCUCAAAAUAUAUAUAACGAAAAGGAAAUAUAGAGAUAUCCAGUCAAUAUGGGAGGGGGGACAUGUCAUGGGGGACAUAACAAUUUCAAAAUAGAAAGAUAUCAAGUAACGAAGGAAACGAUAUAACUCGAAAACCAAUGAAGAAUCAUAAAUAAAUAAAUGCACAUCAUCACCCUUCGUGCUUUUACUCUCGACCUCACCAAAAUAAAUACAUAAUAGAAAUGUGAACGGUAUCACCCUUCGUGCUUUUACUUUAUUUCCUCACCAUCAUAAUCAGUAGAAUCAGGACGAAAUGGUACAUCAUGCGGCACGAACAUCACCUUUCUUUCUUUACACUCUUUCCUCACAAUCACACAUGACAUCACCCUUUGUACUUUAUACUCUUUCCUCACAAAAAAAAAAUACACAGCAUUACCCUUCUAGCUUUAACACUCUUCCUCACCCAAGCAACAAUCACAAACAAUAGGCGAGGAAAUAAACAAGAUUAUAAUAGGAAUCCCGGCAAGGGAACAACAAUUAAAUAAUUAAAUCCCGUCAAGGGAAACACGUCAACAAUAUAAAUAUCCCGGCGAGGGAGAUAACCAAUAAAGCAAUAUAAUCCCGUCAAAGGAACAAUUUAAUAACUCUUUCUCUUUUUCACUUUUGCUUCACAACUCACUUUACCACUUGAGUCAAUGCUCCAAAGGGUUCAAUCGACUCGUUUACUUUCACAAUUCAUAAUAUAACUUGAGUCAAUGCUCCUCGAUGAUCAAAACUCACAAUUACUUUGUCAAUUUUUCAUAACAAAUAGAAAUCACUUCUAAAGCAUAGAUUAUUCAACGAAAUCAUGAAAUUCACAUUAUAAUAGCCAUCAACGUAUAGAUACUCGUCAUCACGCCUAUACGUCGUACUCAACAAUAAUCACGUAGCAAAUAGGACUCGACUCCUAAUCCCUCUAGCUAAGGUUAGACGAAACACUUACCUCGAACUUCCACGGCCAACUCAAGCCUCAAUCACCGCUUUUCCUUUCAAAUUCGGCUCAAACCCAAUCAAAUCUAUACAUAAUCGACUUAAUAAUAUCAGUUAAUGCUAAACAAUCCAAUUCCAAUAUUUAAUUAUAGCUUUCUAAUCAUUCUUCCCAAAAAUUCAAAUAUCGAUCCCAGACGCACUAGGUCAAAACACGAGGUUCGGUCCAAAACCCGAUCAUCCAUUCAUCCACGAGCCCGAAUAUAUAAUUUAUUUCCAAAUCCGAGCCCAAAACAUGGUGUAAAUCAUAAUUAAUCAAAAAGCCCUAACUCUACCCAAAACCCAAAUUAUGUACCCUUAAUGACAUGUUUUCGGCCUAGAAAUCUAAUGGGUGUUACCGAAAAUUGAAGAAAAUGUGUCUAAGAUUACAUACCAACAAAUUUGUGGUGAAAUCCUCUUUCAAAAAUCGCCCAAUUUGUAGUUAAGAUGAAGAAGUUAUAAAAUUUUGAACAAAUCACAUAUUAGCUAUUGUUUUAAGUGGCGGGCGACAGUGGUCAUUGCGUUCGCGAGAACACUAUAAUGUUAUUGAGUUAGUGUGUGUGUUUGGCUCAGGCAAGUACGUAUAAUGUUAUUGAGUUAGUGUGUGUGUUUGGCUGGGAGCCCUGAGGGAUCGGGAGUGAUUCAGAGGUGGUUCAAGGUAAUUUUACACUUAAAAGCAUAGCAUAUUUUUUGCACUUUUUGCCCAGGUGAUUUGUUCUUCGCAAACGCCUCCUUAGGCUCAAGUUUGCACUGCUCAGUCAAUUUCCUCUUCCGCGAUCCCGACCUCCUUUCCACGUUCGCAUAGCUCUGUAAAACCCUUCAACGUGUUCGCAUCCGCCUUAUCGCGAUCACGUAGGCCUUUUCCCCUCCGAACCCCAGUUUUCUCUUUGCGUUCGCAGCUUCCCUAUCGCGAACGCGAUGGUCUUGAUGCCAAACUUUCGCGAACGCGUUCCCAUCGUCGCGAUCGCGAAGGGCAUUUUCGCCCAGUGAAUUUUUAUGUUUAAUAUCAGAACAGUGACAGGAUAAUUCCCAUUUUUUUCACACGAACUCCACCCUAAAACACUCCAUUGACGAAACGCAAGCUUCUUUUUCUCCAUAACUCUUUGGGUUAGUGAUCUUAACUUCAUCCCUUCAUUGUCUCUUCAUCUAAUUAUUUAAUUCCUAGACCUAGAACAUGAAAUCAAAGUAGAAAUUAGGGCUUUUGGGUAGAGUUAGAUUUUUGGGAAUUUAGGGCGAUUCAAUCUCAAUUUGGGGUCUAAUCCUUAUACAAAUUAUAUAUUUGAACUCGUGGGGUUAUAGAUAAUUGGAAUUUGUUCCGAGCCUCGGGUUUGGACCAUAUGGGCCUGGUGUCAGAUUUUGGUAUUUUUGGAAGAAAGAUAGGAAAUUCAUUUCAAAACAAUGGAAUGGUGUCUUUGAGCUAUUAUUGAUAAUGUUGAAUCUAAUAAUGGUUAGAUAUCGUUGUUUCAGAGUUGGAUUCUAGAGGAAAAGCGGUAUUAGAGGGUUGAUUGCUAUUUUCAGAACGAGGUAAGUGUGUGAUCUAACAUUGGCUUGAGAGAAUAGGAUUAGGACAUUAUUUGCUAUGUGCUAUGUGGAACCGGUGUAUAGGUAUGGUGACAGUUACCUAUGCGCCCGAGUCUAGCAUGACCGUGGGUCUGAAAUUCCUUCAAUUCGGAUAAUGUGGUAGGACUUGUUGCUUAAGUUGACUGAGUCCACAUGAUAUCACCGGUUGAGGAUUUAUAGAGACUUGUAUAAAUUAUUGGAGCAUUGGCUCGACCUAAAAUUUGUUGGUAGUUAAAUGUUAGAAGUGAAAGUUCUGUGAUUAUUUCCCUUGACGCGAUUUUGGUAUAAAUUGAACCCUCCCUUGCCAGGAUAUUUGAGCUGUUAGUUAUAUUCCCUCGUCGGGACUCUUGUAUUUUCAUGUUACUUCCCUCGUACUUGAGUUGCAAAUGAUGUGAGGUGACUUUUGUUGGUAAAUAUCGAUGAUCGGGUUGCACGCAGGAAUGGACUACCGAAAGUUUUGUGAUUAUUUCCCUUGCCGGGAUUUUGGUAUAAAUUGAACCCUCCCUUGCCGAGGAUAUUUGAGCUGGUAGUUAUAUUCCCUCGUCGGGACUCUUGUAGUUUGAUGUUACUCACAUCGCAUUUGAGUUGGGAAUGAUGUUGGGUGAGUUUUGUUGGUAAUUGUCGAGGAUCGGGAUGCACGUCGCAAGGGUAAUAAAUAUUGAGGAUCGGGUUUGUGCGAUACAACGGUAUUAAAUGUUGAGGAUUGGGUUGCGUGCCGCAAUGAAAAUAUGGACUGAGUAUAUUGUUCUGUGUGUUAAGCUCUCCAGUAUUUCUUUAUCAGUUGUUAUCUGCUCGAUUUUCAUUCUUGUUAGUUGAUUUCUGUAUUUGAACUGUUGUACCCCACAGCAUGCUUCCCUCCCCUUUUUACCGUUUAGAUUAGCGUAUUCUCCUGUUAUUGCAUAUAUCUGCACAAGUUAUUUGUGGUAGGUCCUGUCUAGCCUUGUCACUACCUCGCUGGGGUUAGGCCAGGCACUUACCAGCACAUGGGGUCGGUUGUGCUGAUGCUACACUUUUGUACCUUUUUCUGCACAGAUCAGGGAGCAGCUUACGGACCACCGCAUCAGUUCUACACCGGGAGCCAACCUUCAGCCCGGAGACUCUUAUGUAGCUUAGCUGACGUCCGUGAGCUCGAAAUCUCAUCUAUGUUAUUUAUGUUUGUUUAUUUGUAUCGAGACAAACUCUUGUGUAUUUUUUUCAGACUGAUGUUUUUAGUAUUCCUUAGUUGUCCGUGAGUGAUGACACCAGAUAUUGGAUAGAGAUAUAUUUUAAACUUCCGCAUUAUGAUAUCGUUUUUAUUAAAAGUCUUCCGCAUAUUUAAGUUUUUGUUUCAGUUUAUCGUAUUAUUUUAAAGAAAUAUUUUGUAUAAUGUUUAAGGAUUUGGAUUGACUAGCUCCGAAAGUAGGUGCAAUCAGGACCCUCGAUAGUGAAAAAUUUGGAUCGUGACAUUUAUUUAUUUCAAUCUACAGGUAUGUGUUAACUACCAAAAUAAAGAAGAAGAAAAAAAUAUAUUAAUAUUUGGUCAAAAGUCAAGGACAUUGGUUGGCCAAGGUACUGAAAGCAAUUGAAAUUGAAAACAAUUAGGGGAUCCUAUGACAAUUAACCAUGAAGGACAAAAGGAUGGUUGAUAAAAUAGCUUUUAUGGUAGAAUCUUGUAUCACAGAACACAGAAGCGAAGGCAAACAGUAGAAGACAUCUAUUUCUUUUACUUACGGUUUGCUUGAGUAUACUCUUGUGCAUAUGAAAAAAUUCCAUUGAGUACUGAAUAUUAAAUACCAAUUAUACGUAUAUAGCCAGUAAAGCUAUUAAAUUUGGGCUUAUUUACAUGUUUAAGAGAAAAAUAUUUUGUUGAACAAUACGAUAAAUAAAUAAUAUGACAGCUUUUUAAUUGAAGAAUAUUGAAUGUGUUGAGUAACCCGAAGCUUGCAUAGAUAUUAAUUGGACGAAAUUGACAAUUCAAGGUGUAAUAUGAAUGAUUGGGUAUUCUAAAUUAGUUAUGAAUUAGUCUAAAGAAAACAAUUACCACGAUCAUGUGAUGUGAUUAUGGACUGAAGAAGGUCGUACAAAGUGUUUGGGGUGACACAUUAUAAAUUUUGGCACGAGUAUUGUGAGUAGUAAUCUUACUGCAACUAAUUUUCUCAUAUCCUGUAUAAUUUAUAUAUGAUUUUAAAAUUAAUAUUUUUUACCGAAUGUUUGAAAUUGUAUGUGGGACAAGUCCUUUACCAGAUGUGGUACUAAUUAUUCUCAACGAAUCUUUCUUUGAUACUGGAGAGAAGGUUUCAUGGUAAUCAAUGCCUUCCCUUUGAGUAAAACCUUUGGCUACAAGUCUGGCGUUAUAUCGUUCCAUAUUACCAUAUGAGCCUCUUUUAGUUUUAAAGACCCAUUGGAACCUAUGGUAGAGGAUCCCUUUGGUAAUUCGACGAGAUCCCAGGCUUUGCUUUUAGCCAUUGAUGCUAGCUCUUCUUUCAUGGAAUCAUACCAAAGUGUGGAGUUUUCUCCACUCAUAGCUUGUGAAAACAAGCAUGGAUCAAUCUUUUUGUCCCAUAUCAUAAUCAGACUCUUGGAGAUAUACAAUAUGUUAGAAAUGUACUGUCUCUUCUAGAGAAUUCUGUUGUAACCCACAUAUAAGGUAAUAAAUUAAUUACCUCAUCUCCUAUAGAAAAUGAUAUAUCCGAUAAUAUUAUGUAGUUAUGCAUAUAUGAUAGUAAUUUUGAUGGAAAGAAAUAAUUUCUAUAAGGAGUUCAUAGAGCAAUUAUAUUUUAUGGAGAAUUCCCUAAGGCUAAAGUAGUUGCCUAAGAAUCCCUAGGCUACCUAUAAAUAUGCCAAUAACUCCAUCAAUCUGGCAUCUUACACAACGCACAUGUUAGAAGACUCCCUAGGUUUCUAUCAAGGUUCUUCCAAAACGAAUUUACGAUACCUGAACAACUAUGGAUGAAGGUAUGUUUCUUGUUUAGUUUUCGUUGCGACGGCUCUACGUAUAUCAUAAAUUUUAAAAUGUGGCAACAGAUCCUCUCUUUAGCUGUAUUGUUCAGCAUUGUUGAUGAUAAUUACAAAUAUAAUUUAUCAUGCUUCGGUAACAACGAGUUCCUAACAUGAUACUGAACUUGAAUCGGCAGAUUGCUCUUUGGUUUUGGCUUCUGGAUGUGUAGUUGUUUGCUGAUUAAUCUAUAAACUUUAUGCAUCUCUCUAUUGUGAGUAUAUUGACAUAUUUUCGGUUUGUAGGGUUAUUGAUUAAUGCCUUUUGAUCAUUAAAAAUAUUAACGACAAUUUAAAUUGCCAUCCCAACUCCUUUGUCAUGUAUAUACUUUCAUAAGAUGUCAUUAUUAAGUAUGAAUUGAUUAUUCAGUGAAUUUUUCUAAAGGCUUGUGCCUAUGAGUAUAAAUUGUGAAAAGACAUGUUAUUUAGUCUUGGAGAUUAUAAUUGUAAUGACUCGGUCGGUCGUUUUGAGUGUAUUAGCCUUGAUCCCCCUGCUUACUGCUUUUCCCGUAUAUUUUUCUACUUAUGUGACUUUCCAGGAGGCUCUGUUUUUUUUUUUUUUUGAGGUGUUUUGGGGUGCUUAGUCCCUGAAACGGAAGCUUAAGUCUUAGUAUUUUGCCUAUAGUUUGAACUGUGUGAAUACGACUCCUGAAUGGAGCUUCGUCAAUUUUGUUAGCUCCGUUGGUGAUUUUGGACUUAUGAGCGCAUCUAAAUUGUGUUUUGGAGGUUUGUAGCUGAAUUAGGCUUGAAAUAGCAAAACUUAAAUUUUGGAAAUUUUGACCUGAAGUGGACUUUUUAAUAUCGGGGUCGGAUUCCGAUUACGGAAGUUGGAGUAAGUCUGUAAUGUUGAAUAUGACUUGUGUGCAAAAUCUGAGGUCAAUCGGACGUGAUUUGAUAGGUUUAGACAUCGGUUGUAAAAUUUUGAAGUUACAAAGUUCAUUAAGUUUGAAUUGGAGGGUAAUUCAUGAUAUUAGUAUUGCUUUAUGUGAUUUGAGGGCUAAAUUAAGUUCGUAUAUAUUUCAGGACUAUUUGAUAUAUGUUGUUGAGAUCCCGGGGCCUCGAGUGUGUUUCAGAUCAUUUUCAGAUUCUUUUUGUACUUGGGAGGAACUUCUGAUGUUUUCACAUCUGCGGUGGGGUUAUUGCAGGUACGGGCACGCACGAGCUUGAGGUCAAGUGCAGAAGAGGAAUUUGAAGGAGUGGCCAUAGGUCGCAAGUGUGAGAGAAAUGCUGCAUCUAUGAGCCCGCAGAUGUGCUUUAGGGCUACAGGUGCAGAGAGUGAGCUGGUGUAAUGACCUCGUCGGUCGUUUCGUAAGUUACAACCUCGUUUCUCCCAUUUCUGCUUCCUUAUGUGUGUUUCAGCUGCAUUUUACCAUAUCGUGGUGGUUGUGUUGUGUUCAGACUAAUCUUAGAGUGGAAUGAGACACUUAGUCUCUUAUUUGGAUGCUUAAGUUGGAAAAGUCAACCGGAUAUUGACUUAUAUGCAGAAGAUCUCAAAUGUGAAUUUUGAUGGUUCGAAUAGCUUUGUUAGGUGACUUUUGAAUUACGAACGUAUUCGGAUUGUAAUUUGGAGGUUCGCAGUAGAUUUAGGAUUGAAUUGGUAAAAUUAGAAAUUCGGUAUUUUUCGGUCAGCAGUGGAAAUCUUGAUAUCGGGGUUGGAAUGGAACUCCAAAAAUUGGAGUAGGUUUGCUGUGUCAUUUGUGACGUCUGUGCAAAAUUCCAGGUCAUUCGGAUGUGGUUUGAUAGUUUUGGCAACAUUUGCGGAAUUGGAAAUUUUAGAUCCUUAGACUUGAAUCCGAUGGUGAUUUGGUGUUUCGAUGUUGUUUUGAGUGUUCCGGAGGUUGGAAUAAGUUUUGAUGGGUUUUCAAUGUCUUUUAUUUAUACUUCUUAUAUUUUGAUGAUAUAAGAAGAACCAUAUAGAGAACCUAAUCCACCUGGUAUACAUUUCGAAUUAACAAUGUCCAGUCUGAUAUCCAGCAAAUGAGUGAACAACCACAAGGAAGAAUACAACAGGGACCUAGUCCCUUAGGGUUCUCCAAUAGAAGUACAAGUCAACUGUACAACUGGGAUGUAACCGCAGAAAGUGACUGUCCGCAACUGUUUCAAAAAGGAACACAACAGGGACCUAGUCCCUUAGGGAACUUUAACAGAAGUUGAAGUCAACUAUACAGCUGGAACACAAUUGCAGAAAGUGACUAUCCGCAACUGUACACACUUCUCAUUGAGAAGAAGCGUGUACCAAGAAUUGACAUCACCAUUGUGAUGUCUUUUGUAGUAUAACAACCUGGUGUAAGGCACAACAUAUUCACUUGUACUUUAGUGAUAUACUCUCAAGCAUUAAAGUGUUCAUCCGGCAUUGAAGUUACUGGCGUGUCAAGAACAAGAAGACAACUCCAUUAAAGGAUCAGUAGCAUAAUGAGUCUAUGUGUAUCCGCAGUUGAUUUGUAAUCUUUUUAUUUAUUCUUCAUUGUAACUCCUAUCUUGCUGUCUUAGAAGCUAUAUUUUAGGAAACCCAAAAUCUAAGAAAUUUUUCAGUUUAUCGUGACUAGGUCUAGUCAUAAGUUUAAAGUCUUUGUAACUAGAGAGACACAAAGUGGCUUGUGGUAAGAGUAUCACAAAUUAUUUAAGUUGAAGUCUUUGUAAUAGAGUUAUUAUAAGGUGGCUUGUAAUAAUGAGAUUACAAGUUAGUGAAGUUGAAAGCCUACAAGUGUAAGUCGUGGAUUUUGUCCCCUUGUGUGGGAUUUUUCACAUAAAACUUUCUUGUCUCUUUUGCUUACUGCUUCAUAAGUAUUCUUGGUAGAAACUCAUAAAGGAUCAGGUGCUCUAUAGUUUGGUGGACUCAUAUAAGCUAUCAAGUUUGAAUGGUAUUAUAUGACUUGUUGGCAUGUUUGGUUGAGGUUCCAAGGGCCUCAGGAUGAACUUAGGUGGUCGACAUAAAGUUUCGCUUUGAGUUGACUCUCCUGAUUUUUGCUACUUUUGUCAUUUCUACACCUAUGGAUUAAGGACCGUAGGUGUAAGCCGCAGAAGCGAUAAAGAGACGGUAGAUGUCACGACCCUAGUUCACCAACUGUGAACCUGUCAUAACGGCUCCCAGUCUUCACGACUAGGUAAGCCUAACACAUUGCAAAAUUUAACAAUAUUUACGGAAAAAAUGACAGAAAACCGAAUAACAUAAGAAAAUGUAUGGAUUUUCCGCCUGGCACAUACACUUCAAUACAAAAUACGGAAACAACCUCCAAGACCCAGAAACCCACUGAAACAUAGGCUAUAAGAAAUCUUACACUGCUAUAGUCACCAUAAUAGUCUAAUACAAGAGGGAUCAAAAUAACAUCUACUAACUAUGGAUAGAAUAAGAAGGAGACUUUGUGGAUAUGCGGACGUGGCAGAUGUAUACCUCAAGUCUCCAAUACGCUCUCGGACAGCUACUGGCGGUAUGCCAGCUCAGACGUACCUGGAUCUUCACAUGAAAAACAAGCAUAGAAGAGGCGUGGUACACCACAACAGUACUCAAUAAGUUCCAAACCUAACCUCGAUUGGGUAGUGACGAGGAAGGUCGAGGCCCUAAAGAGAUAAACAUAAAAAUAAAGAUGAAAUGAAUAAAAAAUAUUAGUACAGUGUAUAUCGAGUGUCUAGCAAAAUAAUAAGUAAGACGGAAACAGAUUACAAAUAGAAUCUAUGAAUAAAAGAACAAUCAUUACAAACUAUUUAUCAUAGGGGAUCUCCUAGUAUCCCGAGGAUCUCCCGGUAUCCUCGUCACAUACACGAGGUAUCUCCAAGUAUCCCGAGGAUCUCCUAGUAUCCUCCAUUUAAUCACGAGGGAUCCCCAAGUAUCCUGAGGAUCUCCAAGUAUCCUCCAUAUAUAAUCAAUCAUGUGCCGAAGACCUCUUAGUAUCCCGCACUUCCCAUCUUAGAACAUAAUACGUACAUGGUAACUCCCGGGAUGCCAUCCCGUAGACCCAAUCGUAAACACAUCAUAGCAAUUCAAUAUUGUACAAAUGCAAAGUAAAGACAACAGGAAGAAUCUAAAGUCUAGCAUGCUUCACGAAAAGCAGAUAUUGCAAUUUAGUAAAAUAAACAAGUAAGCUAACUAACAUCUUUUCCCAAAGCUAAAACAAGUGAAAUUGCAUUUAUUACAGUUAAAUAAAUGAAAAACACAGUCUAUAUAAGUCAAGUAAGGUAAAUUUUCAACAAUUAGCACAGGUACACGCUCGUCAUCUCGCGCACAAAGGCAUUUAAAACAACAGUGAAGAUAUCCUAAGGGGAGAGGUCCCCCACAGAAAGUUAGACAAGCCACUUACCUCGAACCGAUACAAAAAUCACUAAGAAACGAUGUCCUUGCCACGAGUAAUUACAUAUUGUAAAUAACAUCGUAAGUAUCUAAUUCCACUAUAAAAUUAAAGCUAAGGCGUGAAAAUAGGUAAAAUAACCUAAAUUCCCCUCAGGACAAUGUCUCGGAAUCUAAUAAUUUUCACAUUUUCACAAACCUCGUACUCUCACAAGUCUAACCAUAUAAAAAUCACCCAAAUCGGAGGUCAAAUACCCCUUCAAAUCCUCACAAUUAGGUCUCAGAACUUUACCCCAAUUUUCAUUCAAAAUCCGAAAUUGAAGGUUGAAUUCACGAUUAGAUUAGUGGGUUUUAGUCAUAGAGGAGUAAGGAAUCGUUACCCAAUUGUUGCCUCUGAAAAACCUUCGAAAAAUCCCUCAAAUCCGAGCUCUAGCUUGAGUUUUGUUAAAAAUGGAAGAACCCUCGUUUUUGAAAUAUUAAUAUUGCUCAUGGGUCUAAAGAAUUGCGAUCACGGAGGGUCUCCUACGUUAGCAACAAGGAAUUAUUUAAUUAGCUGAAGAAUGCCAUUCGCGAUCGCGAAGGUAUGGCUGCAAAUGCGAAGGCCUGAGGUUGGAACCUAUGCGAACGUGACGCCUUUCACACGAUCGUGUAGAAGAAAAAUAUGAGGAUCCAGAAGUAGCCUACGCGAACGCAUUGGCAAGGACGUGAACGCAAUGAAGGGGAAGCCACAGCUACGUGAACGCGGGGGAAGGACCGCGAUCGCGAAGUAGGGUCUCAGACCUCCAAUUUUCUGCUGCAUAAUCAAACUCCAAAUUUCUCCGUUGAGCAUCCAAAACACACUCGAGGCCCCGGGAUCUCAACCAAACCUACAGACAUAUCCCAUAACAUUAUUAAAACUUGUACCAAUCCUUAACCACCUAAAACAACUCCGAAAACUCAAAUUAAUCAAUGAUUUGAACCUAAGAACUCCAAAACUCAACCAAAAACGCUUUCGAUCAAAAACCUAACCAAACCAAGUCCGAUUGACCUGAAAUUUUGUACAUACGUCCCAAAUGACAUGGCGGUGAUACAACAACUUUCUUAAUCCCGUUCCGACCCUCGGAUCAAAAAUUCACUAUCGGAUAAUUUUAAAAUUCUAACUUUCGGCAUUUCUAUCCUAAAUGAGCUACAGACAUCCAAAAUACAUUUUGAACACGCUCCCAAUCCCGAAAUGACCUAACAGAGCUAACGGAACCAUUAGAUUCCCAUUGCAAGGUUGUCUUCACACUGUUCGGAUUACGGACCACUUUCCAACACUUAAGCUCUCAUUUAGGGACUAAGUGUCCCAAAACACUCCGGAUUCUAUCACCGAACGUCCUGGCAAACCAAAAUAGAAGAAAUAAACUUAGGGGAAUUAGUUAAUGGGUAAAUGGGAUAUAAAUUCCAAAGAUGAUCGGCCGUGUCGUCACAGCAGAUGCGGAUUAGGUCGCACGAGCAAAGGAUCUAACCACACCUGAUAUUGAGGUGAUGCACAUGCUAGGAUGAGCGUGGGGGCGUCCACCAUUGAGAAUUUUGACUUGGCCCAUCUCGUAGAGACUAUUAAGUUGCAUAUUUGACUGAAAACUAUUUGAUAUUAUGUGCUUUGGGAAGUAUUACUAUAUUUUGGGUUGAAUGCCAUAUUUGGGCCUCGUGCCAAGCUGUUGGACCCCUAGGGGCUUCUUUUUUACUACUGUUUCAGUUUAAAAUAUGUACUCAGUCAUACUAUAUUUUACUGAAUUCAUAAAUCAAUCUUAUUUAGUUCGUUUUGAUGCAUAAAAUAAUAUUUUGGGCUAAGAACCUUUUGUAUUGUUAGCCCGAGUGGCUAGAGAGUUUUCUGACUGAGUGAGGCCGAGUGCCUGUGUUGUGAGGAUAUCAUGGGAUCGGGUUCUGCACUGCAACAUGUUGUACUAAUUUAUGAUAUAUGAGAGGCCGAGGGCAUGAUUUAUUAUGCCACGAGAUAGCUUGUUAUAGCACUUGGGCUGUAGGAGCCUCUCUGGAGUAUGUACACCCCUAGUGAGCGUGGGUAUCCUGAGCGAGUGACAUGAUGGGUCCCGAAGGGCUGUUCUUGAUUCAUGUUGAGCCCGAGGGACUGAUUAAGAGUGAUUGUGGGGUUGCCCGAGGGGCGGUUUGUGAUACAUGUCUUGCCCGAGGGGCUAUUUAUAAUUUUCAUCAUUUUACUCUAAACUUCAUUGAAUCUUUGUUGAAAUUGUUAGAAAGACAUUUUUCAAAGGAUUUUUACUGAACUUGGAUUUUAACGAGAUGAUUUGAUAUAUUGUUUUAAAAACAUAUUUUACUUAAUGUGGUAUUAUAAUGUGGAUUAUAUAUUUUUCUUACGGCUCAGUAUUUAUAUAUUUUUAUUACAUAUUGAGUUGGUGUACUCAUAUUACUCCCUGCACCUUAUGUGCAUAUCCAGGAGUUACGGGUCGUGAUAGCAAGCACUGAUCCAUCAUCCGUCUCGGAUACCCAGGGUCGGCAAGGUAGAUGAAUGGAGAUCGUAGCCUUGUUCUUCCCCCUCUUAUAUUUCUUGGACUGUUUUAGUAUUUUCCAAACUGUGAUAGUGUUCGUUGUAUUCAAACAGUACUUAGUAGAUGAUCGUGACUUGUGACACCCAAUGUUGGACUCAUGUUUUCUUUUCGCACUUGUUAUUUAGACUCAUUUUCUGGAAUUUAAUUUAAUUAAUAGCUUAAAAUAUUGGUUUGAAUUGGGACUGUGUCAGUUGGCCUAUUUUCAUGAUAGGAGCCAUCACAACCUGAUUGGUUUAGGGGUCAUGCCGAGUUGGAAUCAGAUCCUAUAUUACAUAGGUCUCAAGAGUCAGAGCGGGAUUAGUAGAUUCUUGCGAAUUGGUACGGGGACGUCAGUACUUAUCUUCGAGAGGCUACAGAACCUUUCUGAAAAAAUUCACAUUCUUGAAUUCUUGUCGUGCUAAUAUGUUGAUUCUUGUAACUAAACUUUUAUUAUUCUAUUCUCUCAGAGAUGGUGAGGACACAUGCUACCUGUCAGGACGGACGACCACCAGUAUCCCCAGUUGGGGCCACUUUAGGCCGAGGUCAUGGUAGGGGCAGGGGUGUAGCCCGCACAAUAGCUGAGGCAGUAUCUGUAGAUCCACCAGCCACCCCUAUUCAUGAUCAGGUCCCAGUUGUGGACGCUUUAGUAGGAUCAGCUCAUGCACCGGCUUUGUCAUUUAGUGGUGAUGAGGAUGAGGAUGCACAUGGUUUCUUGGAUAAGUGUCAGAUGAUUAUUCAAAUCGCAUAUAUUUUGGAGACCAGUGGGGUCUCAUUUACUACUUUUCAAUUCUCUGGGGCUGCACUUUGUUGGUGGAAGACUUACCUGUUGUCUUAGUGCCCUUUCUUGGCAGCAAUUCUUCAUUCUGUUUCUGGAGAAGUUUGUACCUAAGUCCCGUCGAGAGGAGCUGCGCAGGCAAUUUGAGUAGCUCCUUCAGGUGAAAGGUCUAUUGCACAAUAGGAGAUGUGGUUUUUCGAGUUGGCGUGUCAUGUAGUCUGUUUGGUUCCCACAGACUGAGAGAGGAUCAGGAGGUUCAUAGAUGGCCUUGGUUUUUAUCUUCGACUAUUUAUGACCAGAGAGAUAGUAUCUGGUGCUACUUUUGAUGAGGUUGUUAAUAUAUUCCACAAAUUGAGAUGGUUCUUGGUCAAGAGAGGGUUGAGAGGGAGUCCACGAGGCCUGGCCUCAUGGUCUGGGCGGAUUCAGUUAUUCUCCUUAUGGGGGUCAGUUUCAGCACGGCAAAGGUCGCCUACUCAAGCAUGCUCAGUCAGCUCGCCCCGUUCACCGUGGAGCAUCAUCGGGCUAUGGUUCUCACAAUUCUCAUAAGGGACAUUUAUCACUUAAUGCCCUUAUAUCCCAAAGUUCCUCCUGUGCUCCAUCAGUUCGGGAUCUUCCAUGCCAAGUUCUUCUACUAGUCAUCCUAGUGCUAGGGUUUCUCUUUAGUCCCCAUCUCUAGUACCGGGGGUUGCUAUGAGUGUGGAGAGUUGGGGGCAUAUGUGCAGGUAGUGUCCUCCUCAUCAUGGGAGUCCGCGUCUGUAGAAGAGUCGCCCAUCGUCAUUAGCACCAAUUACUUCAUCGCCCACCCAGUCAGCUAGAAGUGAAGGACAGUUAACUAGGGGUCUUCCCAGAGGGGGAGGUAGAUAAGGUAGUGGUGAGGCCCAAUUCUAUGCACUCCUAGCCAUACCAAAUGAUAUUGCUUCAGAUGUUGUGAUUACAUGUAUUGUCUCAAUUUUCCACAGAGAUGCUUCAGUGUUAUUUGAUCCUAGUUCCAGUUUUUCAUAUUUUGCUCGUUAUUUGGAUACGCCCUGUGAGUAUCUUGUUUCAUCUGUUCGUGUAUAUACUCCGGUGGACGAUAUUGUUGUUGUGAAUUAUGUAUAUCGGUCGUGUAUGGUGUCUAUUGGGUGUUUGGAGACCCGAGUGGACCUUCUAUUGCUUUGUAUGGUUGAUUAUGAUGUGAUACUAAACAUGGAUUGGCUAUCUCUAGGUCAUGCUAUUUUAGACUUUCAUGCAAAGCAAAUGACAUUGGCUAUGUCGAGUGUGCCACAUAUUGAGUGGCGAGGUUCGACAAAAUAUGUUCCCAAUAUAGUUCAUUUUUGAAGGCCCAGUGGAUGGUUAGGAAGGGUUGUCUUUCUUAUUUGGCCUUCGUGAGGGAUGUUAGUGCAAAGAAUCCUACCAUCGAUUCAAUAUCGGUAGUGAGGGACUUUCUGCAUGUGUUUCCUGCAGACCUUCUAGGCAUGCCACUGGACAGACAUGGAUAUUGACUUUGGUAUUGAUUUGGUGUCGGUCACUUAACCCAUUUCUAUUCCACCAUAUCUUAUGGCACAGGCGGAGUUGAAGGAGCAGCUUUAGGAACUCCUUGAUAAGGGGUUUAUUCGGCAGCGGGGUAUGUCUGUCCUAUUCUUGAAGAAUAAGGAUGGAACUAUGAGGAUGUGCAUUGAUUAUAGGCAGUUGAACAAAGUCAGAAUCAAGACCAAGUAUCCUUUGUCUCGUAUUGAUGAUUUAUUUGACCAGCUUUAGGGAGCGCGGGCGUUCUCAAAGAUUAAUCUCAUGUAAGGUAUCACCAGUUGAAGAUCACGGACUCAGAUAUUUUUAAGACAUCUUUCAGGACCCAAUUAUGGUCAUUAUGAGUUCCUUGUGAUCUCUUUUGGGUUGACCAAUGCCCCCAGCAGCGUUCAUGCAUUUGACAAACAACGUGUUUCGGCCUUAUCCUGACUCAUUCGUUAUUGUAUUUAUUGAUGAUAUUUUGGUGUGAUCGCGUAGUUAGAGGAGCAUAAUGAGCAUUUGAGAGUUGUACUACACCGGUUAAGGGAGGAGAAACUUUAUGAAAAGUUCUCUAAGUGUGAGUUUUGGCUAAGUUCAGUGGCUUUCUUGGUGCACGUUCAGUCUAAUGAGGGUAUUCAGGUUGAUCCGAAGAAGAUAGAAGCGGUUUAGAGUUGUCCCAGACCAUCCUCAGCCACAGAGAUUCGUAGUUUUCUUGGUUAGGCGGGUUAUUACCGUCAGUUUGUUCAGGGAUUCUCAUCUAUCGCAUCGCCCUUGACCAAGUUGAUGCAAAAGGGUGCUCUAUUCAUGUGGUCAGAUAAUUGUCAGGAAAGCUUUUAGAAGCUCAAGACUGCCUUGACCACAGCUUCAGUGUUAGUUUUGCCAUCAGCUUCAGGUUCAUAUACAGUACAUUAAGUUGCUUCUAGAGUUGGUAUUGGCUAUGUGUUGAUGCAUGAUGGUAGAGUGAUUGCCUAUGCUUCUCGUCAGUUGAAGACCUAUAAGAAUAACUACCAUGUUCAUGAUUUGGAAUUGGUUGUCAUUGUUCACGCAUUGAAGAUCAGGAGGCAUUAUCUCUAUGGUGUGUCUUGUAAGGUGUGUAUCAAUCUUUGUAGCCUCCAGCACUUGUUCGAGCAGAAGGAUCUAAAUUUGAGGCAGCAGAGAUGGUUGGAGCUGCUAAAGGAUUAUGAUAUUACUAUUUUGUACCAUCCGAGGACGGAUAAUGUAGUUGUCGAUGCCUUGUGUAGGAAGGCGAUAAGUAUAGGUAGUUUGGCAUAUAUUCAUGUUGGGGGAGACCUCUUGAAGUUGAUGUUCAGUCCUUGGCCAAUCAGUUUGUGAGGUUGGAUAUUUCGAAGCCGAGCUGGAUCUUAGCUUGUGUGGUUUCUCGGUCUUCUUGUAUGAUCUCAUCAAAGAGAGCCAAUAUGAUCAUCCUCAUUUGCGUGUACUCGAGGAUAGAGUUCAGAACGAUGAUGCCAUAGAUGUGACUAUUGGUGAUGAUAGGGUAUUAAGGAUGUAGGUCCGGAUAUGUAUGCCUAAUGUAGAUGGGCUUCGGGAGUUGAUUCUGGAGGAGGACCAUAGCUUGCGAUAUUCCAUCCAUCUGGGUGCCACGAAGAUGUAUCAGUAUUUGAGACAACACUAUAGUGGAGGAGAAUGAAGAAAGAUAUAGUGGGAUUUGUAGCUUGGUGUCUCAACUGUCAGAAUGUGAAAUAUGAGCAUUAGAGACUGGGUAGCUUACUUCAGUGGAUGGAUAUUCCAGAGUGGAAGUGGGAGCGGAUCACCAUGGAUUUCGUAGUUGGACUUCCACGAAAUUUUAGGAUGUUCGAUGCUAUUUGGCUAAUUGUGGAUCGGGUGAGCAAGUCCGCGCACUUCAUUCAUUUGUGCACUACAUAUUCUUCAAAGGUGGUUAGCUGAGAUUAAUAUCUGAGAGAUUGUUCUCCUACAUGGUGUCCCAGUUUCCAUCAUUUGCGAUAGAGGUACUAAAUUGAAAUUGCAGUUUUGGAGAGUCGUGCAGCGGUAGUUGGGUACUAAGGUUCGGUUGAGCACAACUUUUCACCCACAAAUAGACGGACAGUUCGAGUGAACUAUUCAGAUAUUAGAGGAAAUGUUGCGCACUUGUGUCAUUGAUAUUGGAGGGUCAUGGGAUCAGUUUCUACUGCUCGCGGAGUUUGCUUAUUAUAACAGCUACCAAUCGAGUAUUCAGAUGGCUCUAGAUGAGUCUUUAUAUGAGAGGCGGUGUAGAUCUACAGUAGGUUAUUUGAGCCGGGUGAGGCAAGGCUUUUCGGAACACACUUGGUGCAGGAUGCUUUAGAAAAGGUGAAGGUAAUUCAGGAGAGGCUUCGUAUAGCGCAGUCGAGGCAAAAACAUUAUACUGACAUGAAGAUUCGGGAUGUGUCCUACAUAGUUGGUAAGAAGGUUCUGUUGAAGGUUUCACCCUUGAAUGGUGCUAUGAGAUUUGGGAAGAAGGGUAAAUUGAGUCCUUGGUUCAUUGGGCCUUUUGAGGUGCUUCUAAGGAUUGAGGAGGUGGCUUAUGAGCUUGUUUUGCCACCCAGCUUGUCAACUGUUCAUUCGGUAUUUCAUGUUUCUAUGCUCUGGAAGUUUAUUUUGGAUCCAUCUCAUGUUUAGAUUUCAACACGGGUCCGUUAGAUGAUGAUUUUACUUAUGAUGUAGAGCCAUUAGCUAUUUUGGGGAGUCAGGUUCGAAAGUUGAGAUCAAAGGAUAUAGUUUUAGUGAAAGUGCAGUGGAGAGUUCGGCACGUAGAGGAGGCUACCUGGGAGACCAAGCUGAGAUGCGGAGCAGAUAUCCUCACCCAUUUGGGGUUUCAGGUAUGUUUCAAAACUAAUUAUCAAGAACGAAAGUUUGUUUAAGAGGGGGAGGAUGUAACGACCUGGCUGGUCGUUUCAUGAGUUACCACUCUGUUUCCCCAUAUCUACUUCUUAUUGUUUUAUUUAGCUGUGUUUGUGUUAUCGGGAUGGUUGGCUUGGGUCCGGAGAGGUUUUGGUAAGGUUUGAGACACCUAGUCUCUUUUGAGUAAACUUAAGUUGGAAAAGUCAACAAGAUGUUGAUUUAUGUGCUAAAGGGCUCAGAUGUGAGUUCUGAUGGUUUGGAUAACUUUGGGAGGUGAUUUGGGACUUAAGAGCAUGAUUGAAAUAUGUUUUGGAGGAACGGAGUAGAUUUAGGGGUGAAUUGGCAAAAUUGGAAUUUUGACGUUUUCUGGUUGAU
rnacentral:lncRNA from 1 species